rnacentral:misc_RNA from 1 species
GCAAACUUGGUCAUUUAGAGGAAGUAAAAGUCGUAACAAGGUUUCCGUAGGUGAACCUGCGGAAGGAUCAUUACCGAUUUGAGCGAGCCUGAUCUUUUUUGAUCACGGUCUUGCAAAAUUUUGUAUUUAAAACCCCACUCUUGUAAUCAUAAAAUUUAAUGUAAUGUAUGAUAGAAAUAAAGAUCACUUUCAACAACGGAUCUCUUGGCUCUCUAUAAGAGACAGGCAAACUUGGUCAUUUAGAGGAAGUAAAAGUCGUAACAAGGUUUCCGUAGGUGAACCUGCGGAAGGAUCAUUACCGAUUUGAGCGAGCCUGAUCUUUUUUGAUCACGGUCUUGCAAAAUUUUGUAUUUAAAACCCCACUCUUGUAAUCAUAAAAUUUAAUGUAAUGUAUGAUAGAAAUAAAGAUCACUUUCAACAACGGAUCUCUUGGCUCUCGCAUCGAUGAAGAACGCAGC